rnacentral:lncRNA from 1 species
AGAAUAUGUUAGAACACAAUUAUUUUGAUUGAUUACAAGUGCUAUAGAUUCAUGAAGAGUGUUCGUAAGUAUGGAGAAAGACUUGUUGAAAUUGGGUCCCGAAUGGGCUAAGAACUCGGAAACAUUGUGUUGAAAACCUAAAUGAGUUAUCUAGUGUUAUUUGGGGUUAGAAUAUGUUAGAAUACAAUGAAUUUGAUUGAUUACAAGUACUAGAGAUGCAUGAAGAGUGUUUAGAAGUGUGUAGAAAGACUUGU